GUUCACUUCACUACACGCAUUUAGUCGAUUAACAAUUCGCCAAAGUAACAGUUGAUUAUAUAAGCAUGUAUACAAAAGAAAGGAGGGAUUUAUUUGUAUUUGGAUUUAUUCUACAUGCAUAUGUAUGCGCAGUUGCAGAGGAAAAGACGACUAUUGAACUUUUUCUUGGGGAGCUUGCAGGCAUCAUAUUAGCAGCCAUUGCGGCGGGCGGUUGUUUGUAGUGUAGUCACGGUAUUUUGCUUGAGACACAGAAGACGUCAAACAUCUUCAUCGAAUAAAAUGGAAACACAUCAAGGAACGGCUGGUUCUGCCUACGAUGCAUUGUCACCAACAACAAAAGCAACAAGCCACUAUGACAAACUGACAAUAACAAUUCCGCCAACGUCUUCUGCAUGCAAACAAAUUCCAACAGCCUUAAAUAAAGUUGAAAAAUACGAAAGGCUGCAAAUAAACCAAAAAACAAACGCUGCCACGUACGAAAAGUUGUCGCCAAAUUUAGCCACUGAGGAACAGUACGAACGAGUGGAAACCUAUUAAUUGCCCUGAAGAGAAAGCACAGUGAAUUAGGAACUUAUCAUAGACCACACCUCCGGAUUGAAAAAAAAAAUCAUGCAUGCAAGAAACGCAGAAGUUUCAGUUAAAUGAAAUUGUUUCCGUUACAUAUGUGUAUGAUGAUAUGAAUUUAUUUUUGAGAGGAAUACAGUUUCGUGUAUCAUUAAUUUUGAAUGAAUAUAGGACUAACGAUGCUUAAAUGAACAUUACUGACCAGUUUGUCUGUUUUGUACAUAGUAAAAUGACUUGCCGAGACAAAACACAAUAUUCGUAUUAUUGUGUUCAUAGUUGUGUCGGUGAACAAAGAUUAAUUAACAUAGGUUAGAAUUAGACGCCUUUAAACAUAAACUGGAAACUUCAAAGUUUGAAGAAAAUAAAGCUAAUAUAUCGCUGAAGUUAAGCAUUGUAUAUAUUUAAAUAGACUAUAUAAUUUACUGUGGCCCCAAAGAGGCACCUUUAUAAAAAAAUGCAUUUGACAAAACUAAUAAUAGGAUAGAAGAACGGACACACCUCUCUUUAUACAAUACAGAAUUAGAUGAUACAUUCAGACAUAAUAAUCGCUCAUAAUAUAGCAACCGUUGGUUUGACCUUUUUUAUGUUAACAUUUUAAAGUCAUCAUUUUGAGCAUUCUUUAUCAUAUAUACAUUGGAUAUGGUUAUUUAUCAGACAUGAUAUCACAGUUACUAAAAGUGAUGUUAACUGUCACUUCUUAGAAUGGCUCUUAAAUCAUGAGCUCGAUGCCAACGUAGUGUUUUACUGUUUCUGACUUUUUGCUGAUUUGUUUAUAUCAAAUUUGGCGUAUGGUGUAUUACAAUAUUUGAUUAAAUUAAUUCGUAUAACAGUUUAAGUAAAAUGCGUAAAUGUAGAAUACUAUAUUGUAGUAGGACUUACACCUUUUUAUCAAAUGGUCCAGGGGUCUAUCAUUGAUGUGGACGUUCACAUUUUAUUGAAAGGUCCUGGGGCAUUAAGAUCGGCUUACACCUUUUGAUCAAAAGAUCACAGAGUCUAUAAUUGUCGUAGACUUUUGAUCAUUAUGUUAAGAGUUCUAUCUUUGGUGUUACUUCCACAUUGUGAUCAAAAUGUCCAGGAUUAGUUCAUUGGAUGGUACCACAUAUUUUGAUCAAAAUGUCCCGGGUUAGAUACUUGGUGUGGACCUGCACCUGUUUUUAACAAAGUCCAGGGUUAGAACAUUGGUUUUGACCAACACAUUUUGAUAACAAUGUCAAAAGUUAGAUAAAUGGUUUGGUCCUACACAUUUCGAUCACAAGGUCCGGGUAAGAUCUUUGGUGUGAAGUUACAGCUGUUGAUCAAAAGGUCCCUGGUUAGAUCAUGGUUGGGGACCAACACCUGUUUUUAACAAAGUCCAGAGUUAGAUAAUUGGUUUGGGCCGACACAAAUUUUGAUCAAAAAGGUCCCGGGUUAGAUCUUUAGUGUUCUUUUGAUCAGAACGUUCAAGGCAACGAUAGACCAUUGAUGAGGAUGCAAUCAAGCAGUUAUCGCAUGAUCACCCUAGCAAGAAAUGGACCCAUUUGGACGUAACCUGGCGCCCCAGCUCCAAGUUUUAUCGAGGAAAGCGCGACCGACUUUCAGUUACCAGAAUCCUCCUUAAUGACAUAAAGUUGCUUUAUUCUUCAACAGCGAAUGAUUUGUGUAUAAUAUUUGAUUGAACAAGUCUUUACUUUUAUUGUUGCAACUUUUCCAUCUUCUAUAAUGUUAUGUUUUGUAAAUUAUUGUUUGCAGUGUCAUGCCUUAAUCACGCAACACUGGUACAUCGAAAGCAACGUACUAAACAUACGUUUUGUGUUCAAGUCCUUUGAAUGCAGUGGAGUAAUUUUUUGCUUACCUUGGUCUUGUGGUUUGUCACUACCGCAAUGAAUUUAAAGUACAUGCAACUAUGACCGUCUGAAGUUUAAAAAAACAUAUUAAUUGUAGAAGAUUUGUUUUGUAUUAUAAUCUUGUCGUCAUUUACAAUCUCAAAAUAAAAUGUAUUCCCAAUCUU